rnacentral:rRNA from 1 species
UACGUAGGGGCAAGCGUUGUCCGGAUUUAUUGGGCGUAAAGAGCGUGUAGGCGGUUUGGUAGGUCCGUUGUGAAAACUCGAGGCUCAACCUCGAGACGCCGAUGGAAACCAUCAGACUAGAGUCCGGAAGAGGAGAGUGGAAUUCCUGGUGUAGCGGGUGGAAAUGCGCAGAUAUCAGGAAGAACACCCGUGGCUAAGGCGGCUCUCUAGUACGGUACUGACGCUGAGACGCGAAAGCGUGGGGAGCGAACAGG